rnacentral:rRNA from 1 species
UACAGAGGUCCCGAGCGUUGUUCGGAUUCACUGGGCGUAAAGGGUGCGUAGGUGGUGAGGUAAGUCGGAUGUGAAAUCUCCGGGCUCAACCCGGAAAUGGCAUUGGAAACUACCUUGCUGGAGGAUUUGAGGGGGGAUUGGAAUACUUGGUGUAGCAGUGAAAUGCGUAGAUAUCAAGUGGAACACCGGUGGCGAAGGCGGCUCUCUGGACCGAGACUGACGCUGAGGCGCGAAAGCGUGGGGAGCAAACAGG